rnacentral:rRNA from 1 species
UACGUAGGGGGCGAGCGUUGUCCGGAUUUAUUGGGCGUAAAGAGCGUGUAGGCGGUUCGGUAAGUCUGUCGUGAAAUCCUGAGGCUCAACCUCGGGCGUGCGAUGGAUACUGCCGGGCUAGAGGGUGGUAGAGGCGAGUGGAAUUCCCGGUGUAGCGGUGAAAUGCGCAGAUAUCGGGAGGAACACCAGUGGCGAAGGCGGCACUCUGGGCCGGAACUGACGCUGAGGAGCGAAAGCGUGGGGAGCGAACAGG